GACGAACGCUGGCGGCGUGCUUAACACAUGCAAGUCGAACGGAAAGGCCCUGCUUUUGUGGGGUGCUCGAGUGGCGAACGGGUGAGUAACACGUGAGUAACCUGCCCUUGACUUUGGGAUAACUUCAGGAAACUGGGGCUAAUACCGGAUAGGAGCUCCUGCUGCAUGGUGGGGGUUGGAAAGUUUCGGCGGUUGGGGAUGGACUCGCGGCUUAUCAGCUUGUUGGUGGGGUAGUGGCUUACCAAGGCUUUGACGGGUAGCCGGCCUGAGAGGGUGACCGGCCACAUUGGGACUGAGAUACGGCCAACACUCCUAGGGGAGGCAGAAGGGGGAAUUUUGGAAAAGGGGGCGGAGGCCUGAUGCAGCACCCCCGCGUGGGGGAGGCCGGCCUGCGGUUUGUAACCCUCUUUCGCCUGUAACGAAGGGUGAGGGACGGAAAGGAAUAAAAAAACCCCGGCAAACUACGCC
rnacentral:rRNA from 1 species